AGUGAACGCUGGCGGUAUGCCUAACACAUGCAAGUCGAACGGCAGCACAGUAAGAUUUUGCUCUUACGGGUGGCGAGUGGCGGACGGGUGAGGCAUACAUCGGAAUCUUCUUUUUCGUGGGGGAUAACGUAGGGAAACUUACGCUAAUACCGCAUACGUUCUACGGGUGAAAUCAGGGGAUCUUCGGACCUUGCGCGACUGAAUGAGCCGAUGUCGGAUUAGCUAGUUGGCGGGGUAAAGGCCCACCAAGGCGACGAUCCGUAGCUGGUCUGAGAGGAUGAUCGGCCACACUGGAACUGAGACACGGUCCAGACUCCUACGGGAGGCAGCAGUAGGGAAUAUUGGGCAAUGGGCGCAAGCCUGAUCCAGCCAUACCGCGUGAGUGAAGAAGGCCUUCGGAUUGUAAAGCCCUUUUGUUGGGAAAGAAAAGCAGCGGGUGAAUACCCCGCUGUUCUGACGGUACCCAAAGAGUAAGCACCGGCUAACUUCGUG
rnacentral:rRNA from 1 species